rnacentral:lncRNA from 10 species
GUAUCUCCGGUAUCCUAGGGACAGCAACAGGCGCAAAAGAAUAACACCCAGUGCCUGUCUUUGAGGUGCUGCAGUUCAGUAGGAAAAAGAAAUGCAAAUGACCGCAGAGCAGGCUGAAUUCCUCCAAGUUCCAAUGUGGGUGCAGAGGCUCUCUGUGUGCAGAAAGAGGGGCUGAACUGCGAGGUGGCCACCAACACAGAGGCCCUGCAGAGUGGCUGGAUAGAGAUAUGGAGCUCUACGUCUCUGUGCAGAACCUGAGCCGUCCCAGCUCAGCAAGAAAGCAUCGCUGGAGGGCAGCCUGGUGGAGAUGGAGGUGUGUUACAGGACCCUGCCGGCCCAGCUGCAGGGGCUUAACAGAAGCAUGGAGCAGCAGCUGUGCGAGCUCUGCUGCGACACGGAGCACCAGGACCACAAGCACAGGUCCUUCUGGACGUGAAGACGUGGCUGGAGCAGGAGAUCGCCACCUACCGCCGCUUGCUGGAGGUUGAGGACGCCCAGCUGGCCACUCAGUACUCCUUGUCCCUGGCCUCGCAGCCCACCCGGGAAGCCACAGUGACCAGCCACCAGGUGUGCCAUCGUGGAGGAAGUCCAGGUUGGAGAGGUGGUCUUCUUCUGUGAGCAGGUCCACUUCUCCACCCACUGAGACCCCUUUCUGUCUGCGACAGCCCCACCUCGAGGGCCACGGCACAGCCAUCAGCUCCAGCUCCCAGCAUGCUACUGCCACGCCCCGAGUGUCCGUCUGGGCCCCGGUGCAUGGCCUGUUGUCUUUCUGUAUCUACUUUCUGCAGCCCCUCACUGAGGAGGCCUCCUGGGUUUGUCCAGUGCCUACUAUUAAAGCUUUGCUCCAAGUUCAA